GACGAACGCUGGCGGCGUGCUUAGCACAUGCAAGUCGAACGGAAAGGCCCUGCUUUUGUGGGGUGCUCGAGUGGCGAACGGGUGAGUAACACGUGAGUAACCUGCCCUUGACUUUGGGAUAACUUCAGGAAACUGGGGCUAAUACCGGAUAGGAGCUCCUGCUGCAUGGUGGGGGUUGGAAAGUUUCGGCGGUUGGGGAUGGACUCGCGGCUUAUCAGCUUGUUGGUGGGGUAGUGGCUUACCAAGGCUUUGACGGGUAGCCGGCCUGAGAGGGUGACCGGCCACAUUGGGACUGAGAUACGGCCCAGACUCCUACGGGAGGCAGCAGUGGGGAAUAUUGCACAAUGGGCGAAAGCCUGAUGCAGCAACGCCGCGUGCGGGAUGACGGCCUUCGGGUUGUAAACCGCUUUCGCCUGUGACGAAGCGUGAGUGACGGUAAUGGGUAAAGAAGCACCGGCUAACUACGUG
rnacentral:rRNA from 1 species